rnacentral:rRNA from 1 species
UCCGAUGACCAAAUCUGCCCAAAUGACCCCGAUCUUAUCAAGGUCUUGGAAGCUAAGCCGCGUUGAGCCUGGUGAGUACGCGGAUGGGCGACCCGCACCGGGGCUUGCCAGGUGCUGUAGGCA